rnacentral:rRNA from 1 species
UACAUGGGGUGCAAACGUUGCUCGGAAUUAUUGGGCGUAAAGCGCACGUAGGCGGUUCGUUAAGUCGGAUGUGAAAGCCCUCGGCUCAACUGAGGAAGUGCACCCGAAACUGGCGAGCUUGAGUACGAAAGAGGAUCGCGGAAUUCCCGGUGUAGAGGUGAAAUUCGUAGAUAUCGGGAGGAACACCGGGUGGCGAAGGCGGCGAUCUGGGUCGAUACUGACGCUGAGGUGCGAAAGCGUGGGGAGCAACAGG